rnacentral:rRNA from 1 species
UACAGAGGGUGCAAACGUUGCUCGGAAUUACUGGGCGUAAAGCGCGUGUAGGCGGACUUUCAAGUCGGACGUGAAAUCCCUAAGCUCAACUUAGGAACUGCAUUCGAAACUGAAGGCCUAGAGUAGUGGAGAGGGAAGCAGAAUUCCUGGUGUAGAGGUGAAAUUCGUAGAUAUCAGGAGGAACACCGGUGGCGAAGGCGGCUUCCUGGCCACUUACUGACGCUGAGACGCGAAAGCGUGGGGAGCAAACAGG